rnacentral:rRNA from 1 species
GUGGGGAAUAUUGGACAAUGGGCGAAAGCCUGAUCCAGCCAUGCCGCGUGUGUGAAGAAGGUCUUCGGAUUGUAAAGCACUUUAAGUUGGGAGGAAGGGCAGUAAGUUAAUACCUUGCUGUUUUGACGUUACCGACAGAAUAAGCACCGGCUAACUUCGUGCCAGCAGCCGCGGUAAUACGAAGGGUGCAAGCGUUAAUCGGAAUUACUGGGCGUAAAGCGCGCGUAGGUGGUUUUGUAAGUUGGAGGUGAAAUCCCCGGGCUCAACCUGGGAACUGCAUACAAAACUGCAUGACUAGAGUACGGUAGAGGGUAGUGGAAUUUCCUGUGUAGCGGUGAAAUGCGUAGAUAUAGGAAGGAACACCAGUGGCGAAGGCGACUACCUGGACUGAUACUGACACUGAGGUGCGAAAGCGUGGGGAGCAAACAGGAUUAGAAACCCUGGUAGUCC